AGCGCCACGGGAUCCACACCGCGGGUGACGACGAGGUAGUCGCGGAUGACGAUGCCAUGACGGUUUUC
rnacentral:sRNA from 1 species